UACGUAGGUGGCAAGCGUUAUCCGGAUUUACUGGGUGUAAAGGGCGUGUAGGCGGGGACGCAAGCCAGAUGUGAAAACCACGGGCUCAACCUGUGGCCUGCAUUUGAAACUGUGUUUCUUGAGUACUGGAGAGGCAGACGGAAUUCCUAGUGUAGCGGUGAAAUGCGUAGAUAUUAGGAGGAACACCAGUGGCGAAGGCGGUCUGCUGGACAGCAACUGACGCUGAGGCGCGAAAGCGUGGGGAGCAAACAGG
rnacentral:rRNA from 1 species